rnacentral:rRNA from 1 species
AAACUUAAAGGAAUUGACGGGGCCCGCACAAGCGGAGGAACAUGUGGUUAAUUCGAUGAUACGCGAGGAACCUUACCUGGGCUUAAAUGGGAGUGACAGCUGUCGAAAGAUGGUUUCUUCGGACACUCUUCAAGGUGCUGCAUGGUUGUCGUCAGCUCGUGCCGUGAGGUGUCGGGUUAAGUCCCAUAACGAGCGCAACCCUUACCGUUAGUUACCAUCAGGUUAAGCUGGGGACUCUAGCGGGACUGCCACCGUAAGGUGAGAGGAAGGUGGGGAUGACGUCAAAUCAGCACGGCCCUUAUGUCCAGGGCUACACACGUGUUACAAUGGCCAGUACAAAGGGCAGCUACCGGGUGACCGGAUGCUAAUCUCUAAAGCUGGUCUCAGUUCGGAUCGAAGUCUGCAACCCGACUUCGUGAAGCUGGAUUCGCUAGUAAUCGCGCAUCAGCCAUGGCGCGGUGAAUACGUUCCCGGGCCUU